UUGAUUGUUGAUAAACCUCUCAGUCAAUCCUCUCAAUUCCUACACUAAACUAUCAUUUGAGAGAUGAGGUCUGAAACCCUAACGAUCGGAUUAUUGUAGAGAACGUGGUGGUUGUGGCUAGUUGUGGAUGAUGGAGGCGGCGCUGGUGAUUAAGGUUCUUUCCUUUUUUUCUUUCAUCCUCUUCACAUUUACAAACCCUAAUACACAUAUACUACUUUACUACUUCUGUGGCACAUAUGAACUCUCACCGGCUUAAUUCAAUAUGUUGGUAGAAUCUGUGAAUGUUUGGGCAAAAAUUUAUGCUAUUAGUUACCACAAGUCACUUAACCAUCACAACUUUUAUUUCAAACAACAAGAUUCAAGGAGCUUGAGUACUAGAGAUGCACUAAUACUUCACAAGUUAUACCCAAGUUAUGGAUUAUAAGUUCCGUUCUUGUGUCUAUACGCAGCCUGCUGAUUUUUUCUGCGAAAACCCACAAAAAACGCAGGUUUUUUCAGCGAAAAACGCAACCAGCAACGUCGCUGCAGGUUUUUUCGAUGAACGUUUUCGACGGACGAUGCAGCCUGCAGGUUUUUUCAGCGAUCUGCGAGUUUUUUUGUCUGGUUUCGGCGAAAAACAACAGCAUGACAGCACAGGUUUGCAGGUAUAAGUGCAUUGAU
rnacentral:lncRNA from 1 species